UCCAGACUCCUACGGGAGGCAGCAGUGGGGGAUAUUGCACAAUGGGGGGAACCCUGAUGCAGCGACGCCGCGUGGGUGAAGGAGCGUUUCGGCGCGUAAAGCCCUAUCGGCAGGGAAGAAGGAGGACGGUACCUGACUAAGAAGCCCCGGCUAACUACGUGCCAGCAGCCGCGGUAAUACGUAGGGGGCAAGCGUUAUCCGGAUUUACUGGGUGUAAAGGGGGCGCAGACGGCAGCGCAAGCCAGGAGUGAAAGCCCGGGGCCCAACCCCGGGACUGCUCUUGGAACUGCGCGGCUGGAGUGCAGGAGGGGCAGGCGGAAUUCCUGGUGUAGCGGUGAAAUGCGUAGAUAUCAGGAGGAACACCGGUGGCGAAGGCGGCCUGCUGGACUGCGACUGACGUUGAGGCCCGAAAGCGUGGGGAGCAAACAGGAUUAGAUACCCUUGUAGC
rnacentral:rRNA from 1 species